rnacentral:lncRNA from 1 species
AAAAAAAAGAAAAAUCAAAUAUUGAUUAAAAUCAAAGACAAAUAUUGAAAACAGCCUAAGAGUCUUUAUUUUUCUGAACAGGAAAACAAAAAACAAGGACUUUUUUUUUUUAAAGGGUAGCCUUGAGUUGGAGGGGAAGAGGUUGAAGAACUAGAAAAUAGCCUAGUGAUGUUUAUUUGGAUUUUGAACUUUAUUUGGAUUUUACUUGUGUAAGCAAAAUUCUCAAAGAGUGAACGAAGAAGAGCAAAUCAUAGAUCGUCUCUAUCAACACAAGAGGCGGAAGCCAGGUAUUACAUGGUUUUGAUUUUUAAGCUCAUAAUCCCAACUGGUAUCUUUAAAUGGGUGUCCUCUGACCUGGCCCAGGGACUGUAUCUUAAAUAUAAAUUAGGGUCAGGCUGAUUGUUUCCACACCCACUGAAACAACUCUGGGUCUCUUAGGCAUCCACCAAUACUUUGUAUCACAAACCAACCACUGGGUGGGGACAAGUGCAGAAAAAAUAAAAUGAAAGAAAAAGAGACAAAGGCUAAAGCAGUCUGGGAGGCGAGAACAGAGAUGAGACAAUGACACUGGAGUUAAGUGAGGGGCAUCAGGAAAGAAGGAACCAUCAGUGCAGGGGGCAGCUGGAGACACAGAUGAAGACAGGGAGGGAACCUGCAAGAAAUAAGCAGGUGGCAAGAAAAACCAGACUUGAACUACAUCCCCAGCCCCCCCCCACACACUUUUUUUUAAAAAUUUUCAGACAGGGUCUUGCCAAGUUGUUUAGGGCCUCCCUAAGUUGCUGAAGCUGGCUUUGAACUUGGCAUCCUCCUCCUUCAGCUCUGAGAUUACAGGUAUGCACUACACACAGCUGGCUUUUGUUUUUGUUUGCUUUGUUCUAUUUUUUCACAUACCUAAUAAAAAUCUAAUAUCAGCACUCAGGGUCAUGUUUA